GCCAUUUUCCAUUCAAUAAGAUGAUAAAGAAACUACUAAAAAUAGGGUGCUGCCUAAAAAGGACACGGUGAAAAAAAAAAUGACAUUUACUACUAUUAAUUCUAAAAAUUCUGUUUUUUGACAAAAUUGUAUAAGUUCUAUUUUUAGAAAGUAAAAUUGACACAAAAAAAGUUAAAGUUGAUGUUGUUUAGAUUAUACUAUAAGCAAUCAACGUAAAAUAACUUGUAUAAAAAACGUAAAAUAAAAUUCUUAAAAAGUACUGUAGUUUUGAUUAUAUUUAAAAUAAAAACUGUGUUAAUUCUUAGAAAGUAAAUUAAAAUUAAAUGUGCUCAACUUAAUUUUGAUUAUUUUUAAAUUAUAUAACUAAAAAUGUAUUAAGCCAAAAAAAAAAGUAAAAGCUUAUUGAAAGUGUAGAAAUGAAGUUUAGCUACCCUUAGUAAAAAAAAUAAACAAUUUACCAAUCCAACUAAAAAAAAAGUUAAUAAACCUAUCCAACCAAUUGAGAAACUAUUGUAUGAUCACAAAAUUUGGACAAAACCACAUAAGUGAAAAAAUACAGAAAAAAAUAAGAAUUAAAUUAUAUAUAUAGGGAAAGUAUCCAGUGAAAACCAAUAUCUAUUAUGAGGAACGAGAACUAUUAAUUACAAUCAUUAGAUAUAUUAAACGGCUGAGAUUAAAAAAUUUCAAUAAGACAUGGCGUGGGUUAUGGGCACUCUAUCACCUACAUCCAUCAAGACAAUUUCAAUUCCAUGGAUCUGAUGUUAUGUUUUUUUUUUUUUUACAAGGGUUUUAAGUUUUGAUAAAAAGUACCUCCAAUUCAAUCGCAAAAGUGUUUUCUUUUUCCAAUUACAUCGUGGAAGCAAUUUUUUUUCCAAUUCCAUGUGGCCUUUGAUGAAAAGUACAUGUGUAUGUUCCAAUUUGUUUUCUCAAAUUUAAUCGCAAAAGUCUUGUUAAUCAGCUCUGCCAUGAAUGGUUUGACCGCCGCCUUCUCCAUAUAGUAAAACACCUUUCACCGGUUUAAUCAGGAAAAUAACGCGAAGCAGAUUAUAAUGUGCAGAAAAGACCAUGCGAUAUUUAUUAAAAAAAAUUAAUCUUAACCGUUCAAUAUAUUGAAUGAUUGUAAUUAAUAGUUCUCGUUUCUUACAUUAGAUAUUGGUUCUUAUUGGAUACGCUCUAUAUAUAGAUUUGAAAUUUGUAUCGAAAGUUUGGGAAUUAACAAUUUCUCUCUCUUUACUUUUUCUUACAGGAAUUUCUCUCGUCUCACCAAAAAAAAAUUGACGGUUUGAUUUUGUUUUAUCUCCAUAUAGCUCAAUCAACGAAAAAAUGUAUUAUGGAGUAAUACGUAAGAAUUGAAGUUGAAACUAAACAUUCUACUUUUUCACUUAAUAUUUGAAGAAUUAUUUGAGAUAACUUUUAUGAUAAUUUCUUUUUUCUCACUUUUUAUUAGUUAAAAAUAAUAGAGAGAAAAAAAAAAUGAAGAGAGAUAAUAAAAAUAUAAUGUAAGCAUGAGAGAGAAAUUUGUCAAUAAAUUAUCGCAAAAUGGUGUACAAAUAUCAUUUCUCUAAAAACAGAUAAAUUUGUCUUUGAGCAUAAUAUAACUCAGUUGGCAUGGACAUGCAUUAUUAUAUUAAGGACUGAAUUUGAACCUCAAACACUCGUCUUAUUCAACUUAAAAAAUGUGAAUUUUAACUAAGGUACUUAAAAGAAAAAUCUAGCUGCUAAGCUUUAUUCAAAACAAUAUUAUCUUUUGGUAUGCAAAAUUGGCCACAUAAGCCAGAUUCUUAACAACACCAAAAAAGCAGGAUCUGAAAUCAUGACAACCUACGAAACAAACACAACUUCUAGAUAUACACGUAGCGUUUAGGAUCAUGUCAUCAGAUAUUUAUGAACUUUCUUUUUUUGGUCAAUUAAAAAAGUAAGUUCAGUAAUCAACAAGCAUUGAUAUUGAACCCAACGACGUCGUUUAGUUCAGUGUGAUCGAUAGUGUUCAAUUACCUGGGUUGUAACGACGACUCGUUCUGAUGUGUAUAUGCAAACCGGACUUUAUCUCCGACUUCAACUGACACUGUUGAACCACCGUUGCUCUCAGAGAAAC
rnacentral:lncRNA from 1 species